GGCACUAGGAGCCGAUGAAGGACGUGAUAAGCUGCGAUAAGCUUCGGGGAGUUGCACGUAAACUUUGAUCCGAAGAUUUCCGAAUGAGGAAACUCACUUAGAGCAAUGUCUAAGUAUCAUUAAGUGAAUACAUAGCUUAAUGAGGGGAACUCAGGGAACUGAAACAUCUAAGUACCUGAAGGAAGAGAAAGAAAUUCGAUUCCGUAAGUAGCGGCGAGCGAACGCGGAUUAGCCCAAACCAAUAAAGUUUUCUUUAUUGGGGUUGCGGACAUAUCAUAACGAAGAGGUAUCGUAAUUGAAGAGGUUUGGAAAGACCCCCCACAGAAGGUAAUAGUCCUGUAUGUUAAACGAGAAGACUUCAGAUAUGAUCCAGAGUACCACGGGACACGUGAAACCCUGUGGGAAGCAGGAGGGACCACCCUCCAAGGCUA
rnacentral:rRNA from 1 species